rnacentral:rRNA from 1 species
UACGUAGGGGGCAAGCGUUGUCCGGAUUUAUUGGGCGUAAAGAGCGUGUAGGCGGCCAUGCAGGUCCGUUGUGAAAACUCGAGGCUCAACCUCGAGACGCCGAUGGAAACCGUGUGGCUAGAGUCCGGAAGAGGAGAGUGGAAUUCCUGGUGUAGCGGUGAAAUGCGUAGAUAUCGGGAGGAACACCGGUGGCGAAGGCGGCCCCCUGGUUGGAUACUGACGCUGAGACGCGAAAGCGUGGGGAGCAAACAGG